CAAGCGGUGGAGCAUGUGGUUCAAUUCGACGCAACGCGAAGAACCUUACCUGGGUUAAAUCUACUCGAAUCCUGCAGAGAUGUGGGAGUGCUCGCAAGAAAGCGAGUGAGAAGGUGCUGCAUGGUUGUCGUCACCUCGGGUCGUGAGAUGUUGGGUUAAUUCCCGCAACAAGCGCAACCCCUGUCUUUAGUUGCCAUCAUGAAAGCUGGGCACUCUAACAAAACUGCCGACGUUAACUCGGAGGAAGGUGGGGAUGACUUCAAGUCCUCAGGGCCCUUAUGCCCAGGGCUACACACGUGCUACAAUGGCCGGUACAAAAAGUUGCUAACCCGCAGGGGUACCCCAAUCUCAAAAAACCGGUCUCAUUUCGGAUAGAAGUCUGCAACUCGACUUCUUGAAGUCGGAAUCGCUAGUAAUCGCGGAUCAACACGCCGCGGUGAUUAACGUUCCCGGGGCCUUUGUUACACACCCG
rnacentral:rRNA from 1 species